AGAAAAUAACAAUGAUUCCCCUAGUAACGGCGAGUGAAGAGGGAAAAGCUCAAGUUUGGAAGCUUCGUGGCAUAGCUACGACGCGUUGUAAACUGAAGUUUUUUGGGUGAUUGGGCGACCGGAUAAAUAAGUCCUUUGGAAAGGGGCAACAUAGAGGGUGACAUUCCCGUCUUUGGUCCGAGUCAGUGCAGUCGCUGCCCAGGAAACGACGAGUCAGGUUGUUUGGGAAUGCAGCCUAAAAUGGGAGGUAAAUCUCUCCUAAAGCUAAAUACUGGCGUAAGACCGAUAGCGAACAAGUACCGUGAGGGAAAGAUGAAAAGGACUUUGAAAAGAGGGUCAAAUAGUACGUGAAAUUGUUGAAAGGGAACCGUAUGAAAGUAGACUGGCUUGGUGAUGAUCAAUGUGUGUUUCGGCACGCAUGCACUCAUUGCCUUUGCCAGCCAGCGGCAGUUUUUGCUAAAGGAAGAAAAUCAGGGGAAUGUAGCUUCGAUUUCGGUUGAAGUGUUAUAGCUCCUGGUAAAAUACUUUGGCAGAGACUGAGGCUAGCAGUGGGUNUUUGGGAACUUUGCGCGCUUGUCGUCCAAUGGCUAAGUUUUCUUCGGAUGCUUGGUUAUUGGGUGGCAACUCGUGUGAUGCUUCACCCUCCCGC
rnacentral:rRNA from 1 species